GUAGUGUUCCCUCCGUCCCAAAAUUCUUGUCUUACAUUUGUUUAGAUAUGGAUGUAUCUAACAAUUCUUGUCUUACAUUUGUUUAGAUAGGGAUGUAUCUAACACUAAAAUGUAACUAGAUACAUCCAUAUUUAGACAAAUUUAAGACAAGAAUUUUGGGAUGGAGGGAGUACAAA
rfam:Triticum urartu cultivar G1812 contig608106, whole genome shotgun sequence.